ensembl:lncRNA
CCCCCCCCCCCCCCCCCCCAGUUACCGUGAGCGAUUGUCUCAAAGCUGCACCCGACCUGACCUUUAUUCAACCCUUCUGCUCAUUACCUCCUCCUCCCCAACUCUUGUCGAAACAAAAUAACAUUAAGCAUUAACACCUGGAAAUGGGACCUAAUUGGAGCUAAGUCGUGUACGCGGCGCCGUGCAGCAGCGUGUCGAUCCUUCCCUCGAUCGGGUGGAGCGUGAUGAGAGUGUGUGUGUGUGCGUGUGUGCCGAAUGGAUCCCUGCCAGGGAAAAAGGCAAAUGUUGAACUAGUCGGGUGUGCACCAGGGCUCGGUGCUGUAACGCCAGAGUUAUUGUGGCGACUGCAGGCUGCACCAGGGGAAGAGAGAAAUCUCACAUCUCUGUUUACAGCCGGCAUUGUAACGGAGCAGUUUCAUGCAGCCCUUCAAAUACCUUCGGGAGGGAUGCUGGUGUUACUUUAUACCUCUGAAAAUGGAGCCUCGGUGAAAGAGGUGUUGACGGCGUGCACAGCCGUCCCUGGAAACCUUUCUAUUUUCUUCUCGUUUGGUAUUCGGAUGAUAACGUUCUCUUUACUUGAGCAGUUUGAUAAAACAAAGACGUCCAUUAUGUGACAAACUAAACUCAAGGACGGAGUUAGAAACUUUUUAAUGGGGGUCCAGACCUGGGAAUGGAUUCAAAAGAAAGGAGCAAAAGAAUGCGUCUCUGCACGACACCCUAUUAUGCUGCAUGUUCACAGUUAUUAUCACAGUUAUCUUAUUAAACAUGUUAGCAAAAGAAGAUCUUGAUGUCACUGCCCACACACUCACAAUUCUUGAGGUGUCUAAUUAUUCUUAUAAACAGACGCUUUGACGUCAGACGUCUUAAUACAUGUUGGGAACCAGUUUCAAAUAGACUCACGCUAAAUCUGAUUAUCGGUGAAGGGAUGAAAGCUCAACAUCUGCAGUGUGCUGGAAGUGAGGUUUGCCGAAGCCUUUGUAGACCAAUGCGUCCUGUGUGGUGACAGCAGUCAAAUGUGCUGUUCUUUUUUUAUUUUUGGAUAACGGGCCUUGGUACAGAUACCAGGAACCAGAAACGAGGCCCCAGUGGUUGCCGGCCCACGCUGGGCCCCAAGGGCUCCUGAAGAUGCACAGAGACCGGCCCCAGCGGCACGGUCAGUCAGCACAUGUCACAAUUUGAUUGCUCGGAAUAACCGCUGUCCUGUCAGCCCCGGCGAGCCCUGACAAUAUGUCUCCCAGUCCGCUGUCACUUGAGGCACCAAUUAAGCACUCCUCACUCCAAACACCCCGAAUUCACACCUGCUACGACAGGAAGCGCACACGCAACGCACACACACAAACACACAGAUGGGUCUAAACCGGUAGUCGGUGAGACCUUCUCCCGGGCCAGUGUCCUGGCACGGAGACCCGUUGCUCCUUGUCCCCGUUAGCCUCUCGGUCCCCCGUGCUGUGAUGCGUUAAUAGGGAAAUCAUUGCAGCCGGGCCCCAGAUGGCGUGUUCGGAUAGCUGGCUCGCCCUCUGAUUAUGGAGCGUUCUGGAUGAGCCGGGGCCUCGUCUAUUCCCGGCAAUCCUAAAAUAACCGCCUGGCAGCAGGGCGCCUUGGUGGGCUGAAAUAUUUAGAACCCCACAUCAACUCUUCUCAAACUGUUUCCACCCAUGCGGCGGCGGCCUGUCGGUGUUUGUGGUCAUCCAGGUUGUCAUUCAUUUUUCUGAAAGCAGCCCGGAGGUAGGAAGUGUAUUUAAAUGUUUCUUCCCCGAGGAAUCGGACUCUUCUGAGUCCCGACAACAGCCCAAAGCGGUGCUGCCGUUCAGUAAUCCCCAUUGUAUUACACGGGAAUCGCUCGGAAUAGAUAGAAAGGGAAUUUGUUUAACCAAUACUUCACAAGUCAAAACACAACGCUUUGUAUCAUCUGUAAAUACAAGGAAUCAAUUAAGAACUUGUACUUGACACUGUAUUUGUGUGUAUAAACCUCCAGCUGUUCAUACUGUGAAUCAUUUAUUGCUAUAAGCAUGUAUGUGUGUGUUUUUGCGUACAUACAUACACACAUACAUGUGGCAUAUUUAUCUCCUCCACAAACCACUUACAUCACUUUUCAUUUUGUACACACUUUGUAUGUACUCUACAUUUUGUUUUGUACAUUAUUAUCAGGCAUUGUCUCAGUACUCAAGCAUGUGCAAUUUUACAAUUGUAAAAAUCGGCUGUAUUAUUGCAUUUAUUCAGGGACACACAGAGAGCACAGCUGCAGACUCAUCAGAGGAAUACCAAUCAUACACAUCAAAUACACACACAUUUUCACACUCGACCGAAAUGAAGUAUGACAAUUAAGUGAAGUUUGAAAAAAAAGAAGAAGUUUGGCUUGUAAAGUCAUCAUUAGUGGUAAUGAGGUAGAAGUCUCAAAGAGGUGGUUUAAUCUUUUAGGACUGGUAGAUCUGACUGCCAUUAAUUAGCUGUAGUUGAAAGCAGAGGUUUUUAAAGUGUGAGUCUUCAGGGGGCUCUAAGCAGUUUUAGGGAAGGAUCGCUUGAAUGGCAGUGAAGAAAUAUUAUUAAAGUACAUUAGUUAUCAAAGGAUGAUGAACAGCCUACAUUUAUUUGUGUGAUAUGGUUAAAGAGUUCAUCCAGUAGUUCUGGGUCAUUUAUAUAUAUAUAAUCAUACUACAUACAUACAUAACAUCAUGUACAGAAUGAGAAGAAAAACAUGAAUGAAUGCAAGAGCUUCCACACAGGAAAUGAUCAUCCCCUGAAUGGUCCGUCUUUAAUCUACAGAGCUAAUUCACUGAAAGCAUUAGCCCUACUUCGGCAGCACAAGUAAACUUGUUAUCCAACGACUUCAGCAGAUGUAUUGCCAUCUUUGUUAACGUUGUUCCUCUUGCAGUCUUCAUCCCAGGAGCCAUUACCAGCAUGCACACGGCCCCCCUCACUUGACAUAUAGCGUUCUUCAUUCUACUCUUCCCUGCUGAAGAACACGAGGAGCCUUGAUGUGUAUUGCAUCUCUCCCCGAGGAUAAAAUGGAUGUGAAAAUAUAGUCUGUUACCAUCAAUAUUGUAGCUGUGUUUUACCCAUAAGACAUCAGAAGGAUCACGGGGGACGGAGAGAAAGAAAUAUCAAAGAUGGAGCCAGUGGUGACAAAGGCAACGUGUUUGAUUUUCAAAGGGAUGCAGAUAUUAGCAUUUCUGGAUCGCUUGACCAGACCCGGCCUCUCCACUCUCUUACCUUUCAUGUCGAGAGCCCGCCCCAGAAAAGAAAUGAAGGAGGGCUACUCAGUAUUUAAAUGCAUCCGGGCCUGACAAGUUCAUGCUUUUAUUCUGUUUUGAUAUGAAUAUGUAUUAAAGGCCUGCUUCAUAAGAACCAAACACCGGUCUGAAGAAGGGCUAAUGGACACGUCUGCGAUGCUCACAAUGUGAUAGGUCACCGGCUGAGAAGAGACCACAUCAAUCACACGGAUGCAUCUUCACAUUUUGGUCAAUAGACACAUUUCAGUUUGAAAACAAAUGAAAAUGACGUAAAUCCUCUAAUGCUGUAUUCUUUUACGGUUGAGAUGAGAAUUGUAUAUUGGUCACCAACUGUGUUGGUGUGUUAAGAACUGACAUAAACGGUUACUGUAUUCUGAUACUUGAUAUUUUAUAUACUUUGGAUGUGGAAGGGGAAGCCUGACUGGUCUGGUCGGCGGCAGCCGUUUGGCUCACCUGGAGCAAAGCCACCUAAGAGACAGAACUCGGCGGUAAUUGGGUUUUAGCGUAUGUUGUUAAUAAAGGCCUUAUGCUCCUCUCUGCUGCUAUGAUUUCAUUUCAACGCAUAAUGCAGAACAUUAAUAUCAAUACAUACGGUAUUGAUUUUCCUCUGCCUCCUCUGGAAGAGAGGUAGUCUUCGAGCGGAGAAAAGGGGGAUUCAGUUGCAGUGAAUUUAAUUUGGUGGUUUUGUGUUGGCAUCGAUAUCCUGAAAUUCAGACCUGUCUGAGGGCCUGUUCGGUAUCCUUGCUUGACCCCAUCCUCUUGAUUUCCUCUCCUCGGGGAGAGACGCAUCGCUCUGAAGGAAAGAAAGAAGCUCCGCUUGCUCUCCCUCCUCUCUCUUGUACAAAUGAUUUGCAACCCUUACCCACAGAGCCACAGAGGAGCUCUGAAGGGGCGGCGCUGCGGCAUUUCCAUGGAGAGAAAAGGCCAAGCACGUGGGUGUUCAAUGGAAAUCCAGCUCUCAGUUUCCUUUGGGCUUAACGAAUCACAUCAUAGUGUGCAAAGGUGGCUUUAGUGUUUGUUUUGGAAAUAAAAGAACAUGCUUUGCUGGAGGAUCAGAUUGCUUCGGAGAGUUUACCACUGAAGAACAUUCCAAAGUGCUGGUGGGAGGCGGUGCAGUCGGAAAUAAAAUAAUUGCGAUUGAUGUGGCGGGGGCGGCUGGCAACUCAUUCAUCAGAGAAUAAACUUAAUCCCGACAUAUUCCUCCAAAUGUGUACUCUGUUAAUCGGCCACGAUUAUAAUUAAUGGAUGCACUCCACAAAGAAUAUUAAAGAACAGAUGUUUACUCAAUGUAAGUCAAUAGUCGCAGAAACCUUCAAUUAUGGCCCCCCUGUGGGGAACGAAGAUGGAGCAUUAAUCUGGACCAAUUGACAGAAGAUUGAAUUGAUUACCUAAUUAUAAGGAAGCUGGGUUAUUAUUGCCAUAACUCACUGCCGAUUAGCAAUCUUUUGCAAUGCAGAAAGAGACAGCACAAACCCGAUGGAGACCCAGUCACGUGACCAGCCCAUAUUCAUCCUGCCUACUUGAUUAGGUCAGAUGUACAGGAAAAGGCAGGCAGAGAAGAGAGUGGGUAUCAAUUUCAGGUUAUGAAAAUUAUUUCCAUACACCCCCCCGGGGUGGUGAGAGGCUACCGCGCGAAAGAACCUGAUUGGAUGCCAUUAAUCAUGACUAAACCACCUAGCGAUGCAGUAAUCUUCAACAUUCAUCCACAAACAAACCCCCCGUGGAGCUUUCAUUGGGAGUAAACUUUACGUCUGUUUAAAAAAAGAAGGUAUAUAAAUGUUCCCAAACUUUUGAAAUGGGGCAAAUGUCGAUGAACAUAUUCCACAGUCGGCACGGACGGGCCUGUUUUCAUGUCCUCGGGUCCGGCUGCAGAUUGAGUGGUGCCGGCACGCUCCAACGUGCCCCCCCCCGCCCCACUGAUGGAGGCGCAGACGCCCUCUCGUCUGUCUGUCCCGUGCGUGCGACGAGGGCCUCGCGUCUGAACUCCCGUCUUGUCAGAUGCGCCGGCGGGUGCGUUCUUCUGACAGCUCUCUGGCUCUCUGCUCUGCACACCCGGCCUCCCGUUUCACACCGCAGAGGUCAGGGAUUCGCACUCAGUGUGUGGCGUGGAGAAAAAAAGGAGCUGAAGCGUGCACGGGGGAGAAGCUGUCUACCUUCUCAGCCCGUGGUGUUGUCAGGUCUGUGGUGUUAGAGAACUCCGACAGGGUGUCCCCUACCUCACCCUACUGCAAACAGGGCCCGAUAUCGCCUUUCAUCCACGGCACAAGUGUGUGAGGAGUGUGCGUGUGCGUGUUUGUCCUUCUUGCCGUGUGCUGUUUGUGUGUGCGUGCGAGCGCAGAGGCUCCACAUCGCUCCACGUUUCAGUGCUUCCCUCCUGGAGGAAACCGACUCGAAGAUGACUCGAGGAUGGACGCAGUCCUCAAACGGAGGACUGAAAUCACACUGCUGGACUUACUUUACAUAAAAUAAUAGUUCUUUCAAUGUUUUCUUUUGACACUUCAAUAAAUCUGUUUGUUUUAGAAAGGAAAGACACAAAGUUGUAGUAUUAUUUUAUGUGAUUUUUUAACUGGGUUUUAUAUUUUAAAACAAUUUUCAUUUAUUACAUUCCUACGUUCUGUAGCGCAAAAUAAGUUAGUACCACAUGAUCUAUAUUGCUCCGCCUUUCAAUGCUUCUCUAUAUAUUUAUCUAUCUAUUCAUGGCAGUUAAAAUAAUGAUCGGUUGCAGCCCUGGUGUCAGUCAGGCCGGAGCCGGGGAGGAGGACAAGGACGCAGAGAGGUUUGACUGCAGGAGAUUUAUUCCAAUAAUUCAUAUAUCUAAUAAUACCAAAUACAACGAUCCUUUCACAAACACAACACUAACGCGGGUGUGGACAUGCACAACUACAAGACACACUGGCACAGGACAAAGGGAGACGCAGACAAUAAGUAUCCGUGAGGGAGGUGAGGGAACCGGUGGAGACAAUUAGGAAUCAGGGGAGACAAUCGACAGGAGACACCUGAGGAAGGGCAAGGCACCUGAAACGAGAGGGGGUUUAGACGCCACAAUAAAACAGGAAGUAUCAAAAUCAGACCUUCCCUUCCAUUUUCAGAAUAACUUCAUUGUACCUCUUCCUUUUAGAUGCAGACCAGUAAAGCCAGUGCGCAUAUCGUUGCCCUCGCCUGCCAUUUAGGGCCACCAGCUGCCGCAUCUGGUGUGACCAGUGUGUCCGCUGAAGUCCCGGUCAUAGCUGUCUCCCGACCUGACAGAGAUCUGCAUAAACCGGCUCAUCUGUCCCUCACACAGUCUCCCCAGCCAUCAUCUCCGUGUAAGAGCCCCCCCCCCCCCCCCCCCGCCCCGUCCCAAACCUGCUGCCUGACAGCCAGCAAACCGGCCCUGACAGGCGGCCAGGCAGAGUCACGGGCUCACCGCAGAGAGCACCGCCUGUCUCCCCUCAUUUCCUCCUCUCGGCUCCCCCGACUCCCUCUCGUGAAAACAACGAAAACUCUGGUGAACCCCUCCGCUCUAAACCCGAGCCCACCUUCCUCCCUGCUGGGGGGGGAUCAUGCCAAACACGGACGCUUCCUUUUUUUUCUUUUUUUCCUCAGCAGACAAACUCUUUAAACCCUGCCUGGUUUUGUGCUGAAUUAUGGAAUAAAUCUCUCAAGGUGUAAAGGAUAUAAGGGCCUUUUUCUCGCUCGAGAGCCGUGUGAGAUGUCCCACCCAUCCACCUCGUUGAGGAGCCUUUAUGAAGAAAGCGAUAUAUUUAUGCCAAGUAAACUGGUAGACAUGGGUGACAUUUCUCGCAUACCGAGAUAAAAAGUCAAGGAUAAAAGACAAACGUCCUUCUCUGCCGCCCGCUUUGGCACUUUGCCUCGUCCAUCAAAUAUGAAAAUCUGCACAUUCUUUGUUGCAACAGGCAAACAAAAGAGGACUAUGUUCUUGUUUAAGAGGUACUCAUCUGCUGAAUGAUAAAGGGAUAAAGAUGUUGCACAGACUAUGAUCGGCCCCAGCAGGAGCUGUGGUUCGUCUAAGAGUCUUAUCAAAGCACGCAGGCCCUCAGAUCAUCUCCUGCGCUGCAUCUCAGCACCCAUCAAAUCAGUUCUGACUUUUCAUUGCGACGCGUUCUGCUGCAUCUCUUCUGUUUUUUUUUUUUUUUCCUCUCUGGAACCCGGAACUCCGCUCAGCCUCGACUGUAAUUGCUUUUCAUGUAAAUUGAUAUCGGUCAGGAGAUCAGCAGAUCAGCAGAUUACCUCCGCAUGCUUUUCCCCGUUCUCACAAACACACAGGUACUUAUUCGUUCAAAUACACACUCUCACACACAUAAAGUACACACACACACAUACACACACUUUUACCAGAGGACAAUUAGAUCCCAUGAAAGUCUUCCUAAUGAGGGCCGAGAUGACAGUUGAAAUGUAGACGUACUAAUGCAAUUCGGUGCAGGUCCCAGGAAAUUGUUCCAUCGAGAGAUUGAGAGAGAAAAAGAAAACGGUUCACCCCCUUUUGUGUCCAUGAGCGACAGUUAAAUGGCUCUAAAUCAGCCUUUUGAUAAUUUGAUAUUUGAGCUUCCUCAACCCCUAAAACAUAAUGGCUUCUAAUAUGCGGUCUCGUCAAUUCAAAGCAGGAGGAGAGUUCUCGGAGGCUCAGUCCGCACAAAGGCGUGCCGGUGGUGGAGAGCGUGCACACGGCCGUCCACAAGAUGGAUGUGCUGCAGUCGGCUCCUCAGAGGAGAGAUGUCUCUUUCUCCUCCACGGCACAAGCCACAGCCAUUGCCUCUGUUAGUCCUCAAAAUAAGAAGUGAAGUCAAACAGAAUCUGAUUCCACAGCUAUCUCUGAUUGCAUUUUUUACAUCGGGACCCCAGGGAGGAGAGGGUGACCCCGCUAAUGGAAGAACUCAUCAGUAUCUGCCAGGGUAAUUAGCCGAAUUAGCCAAUCCCCCUCCCCACCCCGUCUCUAGGGCGACCCCGGUGUUGGGGGAUGAGCCGUACCUGUUGGCUGUAACGCUGCUGAUCGAGGUGGAGAUCAAUGACGCCCACAUUUAACAACACGAAUGCUCUGACAGAGAAAUGAAUGGCUUCUGUUUAACGCCCACACAACACUUAUGUACAUACGUCACAUUUCUUUGAAGAGGAAAAACAUCCUGCGUAACUUCCCGUGAGUGCUCUCAGCAAUUAAGCGUUCUGUCUAUUAUUAUUAUUAUUAUUAUUAGUCAGUUUCCCCCUGUGCAUUAAAUGGCUUAUGAAAUAUGCCUUUUCCCCCCCUCCAUUUACUUUUCUCGUACUGAACUUCUUCCGUCCGCUGUUGCUUACUCGUUUCACUGCCGCCUUCCUCUUCAUCUCGCCAAGAGAAUAUUUAACCUUGGCGAGGCUCGGGGAGCAGAUGGUGGGCCCUUAUGUGUGUCCGUCGUCAUCCACAGCUAAUGAAGUGAUGUCUCUAUAAACACCUGACAGCGGGUCAAACCGCCGGGGAUAUGAAGGCUCUGUAAAUACUCCUUGUUGUAGCCACAUUAUUGUUGUUGCACGAGAAGCGAUUCUCCCACAUUAGGACAGCGCGGCCGUUCUCUGCACCUGCAGCCUCACAUACUGUGAUCUGUGCACAAGGAAAGAACAAGACUUCACUCAAUCCUGGAUAAAUGGAUCACAUGAUAGAAAACAAUAUGCGGUGAUGUUUGGAGAACUAGAAAUGGACAUUUUAACAACUGUAGAUGCUUUUGUUUCAUGGGAGGAAUUUUGACAGCAUGUUGGUACGAGAGAUAUUGAAUUUUGCACAAAUUAUCCCACUUAAAAAAUAACUUACAAUAAAUCAGCAAACAGUUUGCAUUAUACGACUGUCAGUCAAAAUAGAAGAACUAAUUCAUACUUUUUACCCAACAUGACGUUAACUAUUUGUAUCAAAGUGAUACAAAUAUGUAACUAUGGUUUUCAAGCCUCAAGUUCAUUUCGGAAGUUGCCAUGUUAUUUUUUUUUGUUUUUCCAUUUAGGUUUCUUGCAACCAUAAGACCGAACAACGAAAACAUUUUCAGGCGUCCUGAUUAUUGCCCCACAUUCUUUUUGUAAAAGGGGUAUUAUGUAUUAAGUAUUAUGUAAAUGAACAGCUCAUAUUAACGUUCUUACUCAUUUGGUAAGGAAAAAAGUGUAUAUUGUAUUAUUAUUGCCCUGUAUCAUUAUGUAGACGUGUGUGCAACUGCCUCAAAAGAAAUUUGGACCUUUAAACCAAAAAAGAAAGAAUGCAAAAGAGGAAAGGAGUAAAGCAUCAUGAAUUUUAUACAGCAGGGUAAAAUAAACAUAAAGUUCACUAUAUAGCUAAAAUCCCCUUUUCAUCCCCAGCCGCCAAGAAGAUGAACAACAAUUCGUACAGUAUUUAAAUUGCAUACAGCACACAUCAUAAAAUACUGACCACUAUAUACACAGUGACGGGAUGCACAUAGUAUUUAUGGUAUAGAAUAUAUAGUAUUAACGGUUUACGGUUGUUGAUUUAGCUGAUAAAGGUUCAUAGAUUGAACAUAAUGACUGCGUUCUUAACCCUGUUUUGACGCUAUAUGCUAUACUGUAUAUAACCGAUGCACAUAAAGGGGGGUCUGCCCUCGGCCUCUGGUGUUGUGUACGCCGAUUGACUGAACUGACGCGAUCGUUGUUGUCAUGACUCACGCGUCCCCCCGCUCUGACAAGGCAAAAUGUCACCGGUAAAACGGCCUUUUACCAGUGCUAUGGAAUGAAUCAGGCUCCCCUGUUCACUUAUUCCCCACAUAAUAGAGCCUUCAGAUUUACUCUUCAGUGAGCAGUAAAUCAGAUCAGUUUGCACCAUUAGCGACAAGUGUGGUGUUGACUUUAACUUCAGCAUCUAUCAAAUGCGACGUAAUGCAACGUGGCAUUGUUUGCUAUUUUUUCUAUUUUCAUUCAAACUGGUGCAAUUUUUUUUCUUCAUAGUGCUCGUGUCUCACAGGAAACUCAGUUAAAAUGGCAGACUGUUAAUACUGUGCACUAUUUUUGGAAAUAGAGCAUAGUUUUGGCCACAUGCCUGACUCAUUAACCGUGCUGUAUUAUUGGUUAUUUGUGGCCUUAAUGUAGCUUGGUUGUCUCAGUGUGUCUGCCGUAGUUAGCAGUGGAAAGACUCAUCUGACAUCUUUACUGUGAAAUUGUGAGGCGGAGUCAGCUGCCAGGAGGCCGGAAGGACAUGCAGCGUCUAAACCCCAAAAGGCAAAAUCUUCCUCUGACUGUUAAAAUUGCGAGUUCUUGACUAAAGUAACUGAAUGGAACCAGGAAUGCUUCCACUUAAUGGUGCAACAGAUCAUCAAACCAAAUCCUAUCUCGGAUUAGAGUCACGGAUCGGAUCAAAACAGGAUCAGCACUAAAUAAAAAGGGAGCGAAAACAACUGAUUCCUGACAACUUCUUCUAUGCGGCUGAUGCAGAUCGAUGAUCAUUGAUGAUCCAUGCUGGCGGAUGCAGGUCUCCUUGUUCUUUGAUUAUAGCAGCCGGUAUAAAAGGCUCCAAGCUUUUGUUUUUGUUUUUCCACCAUCCUAAAAAUCCAUGAUUUAAAAAAACAUGCAUUUGAAUGAUCAAGAAAAUCAAUUAAUUUAGUAAUUAGGUGUAUUUAUUUGUUUCACAUCAACAUGGUCGUUCUCCUCAGGUAAAUUUACACGGAUUGGUUGUUUAUUUACUGAUGACAUGUUUUUCUGACAAUCCAAAAAUGAUUUGUCAAUAAUUGCUAGCAACUAGGAUAACAAUAGGUUACUUAUUAUUAAAGUCUCUGGUAGGCUCUUGGGAUGAAAACUUGACACAAUACAGCUGUGUUCUGUUGACAAACUGCUUUAACAAGCAAAGAAAAGCAUCUGCAAACGACAGAAUUGAUUCGGUGAUUCAGAUUCCACCAAUGCUUUAACCAUUCAUCUGCUGAAUUAUUACAGUGGCACAUUAAGGCGGCAAAAGAUUUUCACAAUAAAAUGAAAAACAGUUCGACCCCAUGGAGCCACGAAGCUGAACAAACCUCGUUGAACAACGAAAGCGAUGUUGUCUCCAAUUUUCUCAAUAAUCCGACUUGUCCUCAGCGGAAAUAUCAGAAUUUGACAUUUGAUUUCAUAGCAACCUGAUUACCACAAUCGGUCAAUAAUUGGAUAAAUGCUUGAAAGGUCACAUUUGUCUGAGUUAUUUUGAGUCAUCUAAAAUCAAAUCUUAAUUUGUACUUUUAACUGUCUAUGUUUUAAUUAAUUAAUUUUAAUUGCAAAAUCAGACACAACCAGUCUGACACAAAAGUGAAACCAACCGUAGGUCCUAACUCUGACCCUAAAUCAUCAAUACUUGAUUCCAUUUUUGAUACCUUAAGGAUGAAUUAGCGGACCAUUGAGGCCAGAGUAAUAUAAAUUCUUAUAAUCCAAUGAUAAGUGAUGUGUGUAUCACCUUUGUCAGAGAGAAGAGUGCAGAAAGCGCAGCUGCUACUCCAGUAUCCAAACUGCGGAUUAAUUAGUAUUGAUACCAUCUCAAAUAUUCACUAUGUAUCGAUACUUACAAUAUUUUCGACAACACUUUUCUCUCAUCUAUCAGUGGUCAACACCACAGUUGCCGUCGACAACCGUUUAGAGAAAUUGGCCACCAAGUCCUGGACUUUCUAAUAUGUAAAAUAUCCAAGCACGUGACCCAAAAUUCAAAUACGUUUCUCAAUGUUCACCGCCGAACAUUUGAAGCCAUUGGAUGUGUUGCCUCUUCAUCUGUAUGUGAGAAGCGAUUCCACCGUGUCAGCAGAAUCCAAACAGACUGAAGGUCAUCUCUGAAAGGGGAGACGAUGGACAAACAAAUGUUGCUGUCGCAGUGAGUCUGUGAUGGGAAUUUGCACCAAAAGGUCCAGAAAACCAACCUUCUGAGGGAAAAGAACGGAUGAGCCUCCAACUGGUGACUUGCUGGGUUCUUUUUGGAGGGAUAGUUAAACAAUAGGUGCCUUUCUGGUGGAAUUUAAUUUCCCCUUUUGUUAACUGACAAAACACAAACUACAGGGGUUUUUUUCUUACUGUAGUAACACAUUUACCCGUGUAUGUCACAUUGCACCACUUUCAACCGCACAUUGUCUUGAUUAUUCAAAACAUUUGGGGACUCAAAAUGGAAAAGAUACGUUUCACGAGCAGAAUAGAAAGCUGAUGCCGGUUAACGGUAAGUGUUGAGCCCUGUCACCUGUUUCUUUCCCAGGAUGAUGUGUCUUUCUACUGACAGCUUUUGUUCGACUCCAUUCAAGCUCACGUGAGUGUGCGAGGAGCUGCGGUCUGUGUGUAAUGUCCCGUCAUCAUCGCUCGGCCUGACGCACACGCUCUACCUUUGUCCUCGUUCGUUUUCAAUUGAAAACAAAGUCUGAGGCGUGAAUAAAAAAGCUCCGCUUGCUAACAACCGCCUUUGUCCCCGCUGCUGGAUCUGCCGUCCCGAGAACAGCUUAAUGACAGAGUGAGGCGUGUGUUUUCUUUUGUGUAUCUUUUUUUCAUACACAGACCGGUCGUGCAGCCGAAGCCGCUCGCCGCCGCUUCUUCCCUCCUGCGCUCAGGAGACGGGAAAAGACAGGCUGGUGUGGCGCGAGAAGACUGUUUGUCACUCAGCAGCAGGCCGCGGUGUAUAAUUACCACUUACUGCACAAUCAGCUGUCUUGUCACACCCUCGGUGCGCUUCGACAUUCACGUUCGCACCGCUGGAGAGAGUUUUUCGGUCCUUUCGUGGGCGUCUAACUUUUCCUUCCCCUCUCGGCAUACGCUUACUAUUUCAAUCAACAUCCUCCUAUUCUCUCAAUUAUCACAGGUCUGACUGAUUGGACAGCGGCCCGCGAUGAUUUUUUGUUUACACAUAAUUUGCGACCGCUCCGCUGCCUCCCGUGCCAAUUUACAUAUUUCCCCCCCCCCCUCAUGCGUGCCUGCCCAUAUAUCUGCCUCUCGCUCCCCUCUUCACUUUGCUGUGCCAGCACUUUGGUAGCAGAGCCGCUGGGGGUGGUGUUUAAAUGGUGGGUGGGGGCUGCAGGGGCAGACGAGAACAGUCAAUAUUUCAUAUCUCUACCUGGAAGGAGACACAGAGGGCAGUGCGAAAUUCAAAUAGGGUAAGAUGUACGACGCCCACGCACGGUUUUAACUGUCCUGCCAGUGGGGGGAGGCUACAGGAGGCCAUGCAGCUGGCGGCUCUUGACAUGAGGAAUCCAUUAAUUUCAGCAUUUGCAAAUAGAACACUGAGUUUUCUGAGAGGACGGCGGCGCUUGCACUAUGGGAGCCGAGAAUUGAAUGCAAGGACAACAAUAAAAGCGAAGUCACAUUAGCAUAAAUCAAAUUGUCAAACUUUUACAUCUUGCAAUGCAUUGUUCGCUUUUACUGCAUGGCUGGAAGUUUUGAAUAAUGCAACCUGUGAAUAGACGCGACCCCCCCACCCCCCCUCUACCCGCCUUCCUCUGAUCAGGUUUCAGGUGUGAUUAUGUGCAGCUGGUUUCAAAGGUGUGUUGUAAUGGAAGUGGAUGGCUGUGGAUGAAAGGGGUGUUCCCUUCCUCGCUGCCAAACUCCCAUUCUUCCGCCCGAACUCAAUCAGCCAUUCAGGCCGCGUAGACCGAGCUCACUGUUGGCCCCUCAUACUGGUUUCCUUUGCCCAGAGAAUAACUCUGCAAUCAGUUCGCAUUUUUCCCAUCUCCCUCUCAGGUUGGAUACAUCUGCUCUCAUUCAGGCCUGUGGCACUCGCAAAUGAACGGCGUGUGUUUUCAGCGUCCAAAUAGCAGCUCUGCAAAUCAUCUGCCGUGUUUCAGACUUCGAGCUCGAGCGCGCCCACCGAGACGAGAUGUUCAUUCCCCAAUGCCGACUGCUUUCCACGGUAAUGCAGCGGUUCGUAUGCCAUUCCUUAGUAUUUGCUUACAACAAAUCAAUAAACACUAAUGUGCCGACUGCGUUGUGACUGCAGUGGUCCAACUCCACUCUCCAAACCCCAACGCCAGCGCUGCACAGACCCGGUUUACCGUCAGCUGAUAUUGUGCAAGGGUGAAUGGUGCAAAAAGUGACUACGGAGUGAUAGUGUUAUAAAGUAAACAUGAGUACAAUGAUGGUCCCAUGAAAAGGAGGUUGGAUGCACUCCAGUGAGAGAAUCACAUCCAACUCUCCUGCAACAAUAGCGAGAGGAGCUGAGCCUGUGUACCUGUCUCUCUGUGUGGCCCCGGUUAAAUGCUGCUUCUUGCGUUUGAUCUCGACAGAAGCCCCCUUUUGGCUCAUUUGCAGGGCCUCGCCACUCGGGUGCUGAACUCAACUUCAUUCCGGUUGCCGGUGUUUGUUCUGCUUUCACACAGACAUAAUUAAAUCAAGCCUAAUCCACUAUUUAUGCAUUCUGCAUUUAAAUUAUUCACACAACAGUUUUGUGUGUUAUUGCAUUUUUUUUUCAGAGACAGUUGUAACUGGUGGGGCUUGCAGAUAUUAAAAAUAACAUUCCUCAAGAUUGCUUCUUUUAUUAAUUAAGCUCCGUUUGCUCCCCCAUGCAGUGCAAUUCAAUGGAGUCGUGUGAAAGCUGUGCUUGCAUUUCUUUGCUGAAGCAAGUAUGAAUUUGCCUAACACAGUCACACAGUGUGUAAUAAGAGUAAUUAUAGUGCCAUCAGCUUUCCAAGAAUAUUUUUAACGUUGAAAUAUCAGUGCACACAGACACAAAACAACCUCCAGUGAAUAAUUCAUGGCGUACAUCCAUACAAACACCAUAGUCUCACCUUGAGAGAAGCGGCAGGGUUUUACACAUCACCGUCUGUUUACGUCUGCAUAUGUGAACAGCGUAUUUUAACACCUUUUGGGCCUCCAAAGGGAGCUGCCUAAAAUUAACUCCAGCGUCUUUUGAUUUGUCUGUUGAAAUUGACAAAAAAAAGUUUCACCGUACUUUCUAAAAAUAAUUCUGAUUGAAAUGCUUCUGAUGCAGCACCAAACGAUCGCACAAUCCUUUGAUUUUAAAUUUAAAUAAUAAUAAUUUCUGAAAUUCAUAAUAUACUGUAUUUAAAAUAUUCAAACAUUGCGUUUGACAGUCCGCCGGUCUGUGGUGGGAGUUAGCUUUGUAGCUUGUAAUUUGACUUUUAAAAACUCACCUGUCACCUGUGCUGAUUAACGGGGCACAGCAGGCCGAACAUGCUGCUGAGUCUAAUCAUCACAGUCCAAUGGGCAAUGGGCACAAGCCUCCUGCACCUUCAAGUCACAGCCCGCUGUGGUUUUUCUAGAAGUUGCUUUACUUCAUGUCCGUGGUACAUUAUUGAAGUGCUUCUUACACCCAGCGAGGAAGUUGACAGGCUGCAUACAGAUUCUUCACUAAACUGUAACUGUAACUGCAAAUUAUUAGUAUCUCAAUGUGUUUUUCUCCAGGAGUUGAUCCAAUGCAGAGCACUCUGUCCCCGAGGACGUCUCUUGACAAAUCUAUUAACGGGACAAAUGGCUACGUAGAAUACAAAUUGCGUGUGGAGACAUUUGUGUGUGAGCUGUUUUGGAGCUUUAUUUCUCCAUGUGUCGGCCAAGUGGAAAACAGACAGAGAAGUUAAUUAGGCGCAGUAGAUUCUGAUGUUCCAGUUCCAACAAAAAUCAAAUGACACCCACCGCCAUCCAUCACCGUCGAGCCACCCUCGGUGCACCUGUCGUGCAACCCUGUUGUAUUGAAAUGGCAUUCCGAAGGUUUCACAUCUCCGUGUUAAAUAUGGAGAGCAUCCUGGAGACUGGUGUCAUUACUUUUAGAUCACAGUGGUGUAAUAUUUUAUUACAAAGCGACCCACUGUCUGACUGACUUUUUUUCUCCGUUCAUGCUACAGCUCGCUCUCUGUUGAGCACGGAAGGAUCUUAAUGUGUUUGAAGCACACUGAAACAGAAAUAUGAUCUAAUCUUAGCGAAAUUAAGAAAUCAGAUCAUGGGUGAAAUUGCUCCAUAUUUGUUGUACGUCCUCUCACGGAGCAGAGUGAAUGUUUACGCUGGUCAUCAUUUGCCUCCUGUGGUCUUUGAGCGUUUCGGUUGUGCACAUAUCAACUUUUCAUUCAUUAAGGAGGAGCAGGGGAAACCAAAAAACACAGCAAUGCCUGACAGUCUGAGAGGAGUUUUUGCACAAUUUGUAUUGCAGAUAGAUGAAGCUUACCUUCCCUUUACCCUCGUUUCUCUGUGUGCAUCCAUUUGUUGUUCAGACACUGACAACUGCAUCAACCUGAGUCUCCUGGCGAAAAAACACUCAAUCCCUCAGAAAUUGUUGUUACAGAACACUACUCUCUAUAUCCAGAGAGGUUUGGUUUUGUGCAAAAGACCAAACAACAUGUGAUGCGUAUACCGAAGCUGGCCUAUCAAUACAUAAUGCACUACAGGUGUUGCCAUAGCUAACAACAUCCCACUGAUAUGCUGUGGAUUGCACACACAAACAUAGACGGUAGAACAGAAAAUGUCUUGAUACCAUCUUGAGGGCCAGCAGGUGCAACAUUGUUUUUCCUCUGAGUAACGCGUAUUGUUGAAAAACUUCUAAAUAUUUCAGAAAUCUUUUGCCCUCCAAAAUAAAUUCAAGCAGAAAAGCACACAUAGCGAUACCAAUUAUAAUAUGGGUGAUCAUGACUAGUGGUACCAUUAUAUUUGGGGUGUAUAUAAAAUACACAUUUCUGUAUUAUGAAUUAAACGUUGUAUAUCCUGUAAGCCAUUUAGUGUGGGGGAGGAUUUUUGUCUUUUCCUUAUUUUAUCCACAAUGAAGGGUGGAUAAAGGGUGGAGGUUUUUUUCUGUGUCAGGUCACAGGUGUACAGGUAGGAAAGCAUUGCGCGGCACCUGAUUUUGGACAUUCUAAAAUGAGUCUAAUGUAAUGUUCAAGAUGUUAUGAAAUAUGAUGAUAUGUCUUGAUUAGUGUAUUGCAUAUCAGAUCACAAUGACGGUAUAAUACUAUGUUGGCUUGAAGAAGCUCCAGGUCAAAGGUGUAAUCAUUGAAUGUGCUGUAAUGUUGACGUGCUCAGGGACUUGCGAGGUGAGAGAGGGAUUUCCGGUUCGGUCACCAGAUGGAGUCCAAGAGGAAGGUCAUGAAAAGCCCGGGCGUGGACGGAAAGGCGCCAGGACCAACCUGGGAGGAGCUGCGUUUGGACGUGCAGCCAAUCACACGGCUGCAACGGGAUUCUCUAAUCUGAAAUAUUAAACUAUUCAUAGCGUAUUUAUCACACGUAUUUGCUUCUGUUAGAUAGUUCAUUGUUUUUGGUUUUGAAGCUGUUGUUCUGGGAGGGCUUUCGACCCCUCGCUCGUUUGUAAUGGUUCUCUCUCUCUCUCUGUCCGAUACACUGAAUCGCUGCGGAGAGUCUGGUUGAAUUCGGUGUUGCACAGCUCUGGUACUGUCUGAGAAGUUUGAUCAGCGGCGAGUUUCACACCGACGGCGGGUCGUACUAUUUCCCCCGUGCAGUUGACAACGGUGCAACAGUUGCAUCAUCAGCUGUGAGCGCGGCAGUGAUGAAUUCUGGGUGCUUCUUCCAGCUCCCAGCUCCCAAAUCUGCUCAAAGCCAAGAGGGCACGAGCAAAUUCUGUCGCACCGCGCGGGGACGACAUGAAGUGUAGAACGCACCUAAUGAUGACGGAAUAUCCGGACAUGAGCUUCUGGAGGUCCCACUGGAUCAUCUUGAUGAUGAGUGAGGGAGCCAGCAUGCUCAAGUAACUCCUUAUCAACAGGCAAUGAAGAGGUACCUUCUUGUCUUCAAUUUGAUUUGAUUACACAAAGGCACAGAGCAGUGAAAUGUCUCAACACUGACCGAGAGGGUCUGAGAAAUGCUAACCUUUC